AUGAAUUUGUCAGCACACCGGUUUGUGCAAAAUGUGCUGCUUGAAGGAACAGGAGGAAUGGCAUUGUCAGAGAGGUCAUUUCUGUGUGGAGUGGAGCAGACAGCCUGGUCUGCAGGGACCCAAGUGCAUCUGGCUGGAAGGAAGCUGCAGCUGAGGAAAGCCAUUCCUCAUGAGGAGGCUGAUCCCAGUAGAGGAGUCAGAGCCCAGCUCACAGCUGACUUCAUGAGAAACAAGCCUGGCCUGGCUUCAUCUCUUUGUCCAAUGACAAUGGUUGCAGAAACCCAAGCCUGGCUUGGUGGUCCCCUAUCCUGUUUCAGCAGCAAGGGAGGGCUGGAAAGGGCAGGUAGGAGGCCCAGGAUGGAGAGAUUUGCAUCACAUGCACAGGCCAGUGGGCUGCCCCUUUCCAAUGGGCUCUGGACAUUGCACCCAUGUUAAGGGGUGGUGCAAGACCAUGCAAGUCUUUACUUACAAAUUGCCACUCGGAUAGUUGAUCUGCUCCCAUGUGCUCACUCCAAAAAGAAGGCACGUGGGUGCUGGGUCAGCCUGUAUCACCAACCUGUAUCAUCCAGCAAUUUCAGUCUUCAGGCAUGGAUUGAACUCUCAAGCUCGGAGAGCACUAAUAAAUGCUGUCCCUGAGGCAAGGUAUUAUCUGAGUUGGUGAAGGCUAGUGAUGUUUAGAGAAAGAACAUUCUAAGUAGAAGGUUCCAUUCCUUUGUCCCCACCUCAUAGAAAGCUGGAGCUGGGGUACAACUCUAGAGAGCAAAAAUCAGCUGUAUUGCGCCUUGCAAAGGGCCCAACUCACAUAAAGGCUUGGGAGAGAUCCUACUGGAAAAUCCUCCAUAGGCCUGGAUGUGGGGUUGACACUUGGAGGCAGAUCUGAAAAACACCCAUCUAGACUGUGUGUCCCUGCAAAGAAACUGAGAAAAGGCCUGUCCUGUGCUUCAGCAGAAGAUUUUCUUAACCAAUACCAGCCUGGAAGCUCUUCGAUACACAGCUUCACCAUCAGAUUACAAACACAUGGUGUUGGGCUUUUAAAGCAAUGUCAAUCCCAAAAGCAAGAGGGAGUAGAGGGAGGGAUUGUGUCACAAACAAUUGCUUAUUUACUCCUUUCUUUUCAAAUGCCAUUGAUGUUCAGAGUUUUUUGUCUCAAGAGCUGCUGUUUGUUGAUUGAUUCUCUUUACCUAACCCAAUUCAGCAGGAAUCAGUGCCUAAAACUUAGAUUUAUGCCUGUUUACUCACCAUGUCUUUUUUCUCCUGUCUCUCUCUUUUUUUCCAUCUUCACUACUUUAAAGUUUCCAGAAGCCCAUAGGGCUAUUUGGUUUUGGUUUUUUUUAAAAUUCUGACUUCUUCCUACUGUACUUCAAGAUUUUUGUGUUCCUUUGCCAUUUUUAACCUCCUCUGUUUCUUUUUUUUUCCCUCUCACUCUUAUAUUAUGUUAUCUACAAUAGUGCUAUCAAUGCAAACUUCUCUCAUUUCCAGUUUUGGAUAGAUGAGUGUAUGACAAAUAAUGAUACAAUGACGAUUCUUUCUCACUUGCCAUUGGUCCUAAGAAAUAACCACACCAUUAUUCACAGAACUGUAUCUUUGAUAACAGUGAUAAAUAUAUUCACCAAACUGUGUUCCUUAAAUAGUUCUUGUUCAUUUAGAGAAGGUCCACCUGUCUACCAUUAGAAAAAUAUAGACCACUUAAUUUUCCACAUUUUAGGUAUUUUCCUCUGAAAUCAAUUUAUCAAAAAGAUUAGCAGACAGAGGCAGAUUUGCAUCAACAGAAUGUUUGAUAGUCUACAGCUUUGAGAAUGAGCACACACAUUUCAGUGUAGCCAAACCUUUCACACUUUCUUAAUGUGUUCACAUUCUCAUGGUCUUGUCAAAAAUACCAGUGUCAUUGUACAACUCAAGAUCCUUAAUGUAUU
ensembl:lncRNA